UUAUCUUUUCGGCCUAGUGGUCCCCCAAACUUUGAAAACACAGUAUCUGUUCUUAUCAGCUUGAUAUCUUAUACGGUUUCCAUCGGAGACCUUCGAUAUUAAACUGAUUUUUGGAACUGGGCGAAAUAGGGGGCUUGCUCCUUCCCUGCCACGGGUUGCUCUGGCCUGGCACUUAUUGCCAGAGAUAGCCCACCCCCC
rnacentral:snRNA from 1 species